AUGGAUCUUGCAAUAUCUGCCGUUACAGGUGACCUCGCCAGCCGAUUCAUCUCUUUUCUCAUGAACAAAUACGCGGAUCAUCUAUGCUCGGAGGAGAAGGCGGAGAGGCUGCAGCAACUCCUGUUGAGAGUUCACACGGUCGUCGAGGAGGCGGACGGACGAUGCAUCACCAACUCUUGUAUGCUCAUGCAGUUGAAAAAGCUGUCGACCCUCAUGUACCAAGGGUACCAUGUGUUGGACAACAUCAGGUACAGGCAAGAUAAGGAGACAUCUAAGGAUUUGGUCAGCGAUUCAUUUACCUCGUCUGAUUAUAUCAUUCCAUUCAAACGUGCUCGCACAAGUUCUUCGACAAACAAGGCCACCAACUCGGAGUUACAAAGUGCACUUCAGAGUCUGGAAGCUGUUGUUGACCACAUGGUGGAGUUCGUCGUGCUUUUGGCCGGAUGCGAGCGCGUCUCCCGGAGACCGUAUGAUGCCUAUCUUCAGGUCGACAACUUCAUGUUUGGUCGGCAUGUCGAGAAGCAGAAGAUCAUCAACUUCUUGCUGCAACAGCACAUACCUGGUCCUCCGGCGGUACUACCGAUCAUUGGUGGACGUGGAGUUGGGAAGAAAACCCUUGUGGCACAUGUAUGCAGGUAUGACAGGGUGCGUUCUCACUUCACAGUUAUUUUGCACCUGAGUGGAGACGGUCUUACCAAAAUAACAGACAAUGAAAUUCCGUCAGGGAAGAUACUGGUAGUUGUCGAGUUUGCUUCUGAUGUAGAUGCCGAUGACUGGAGGACAUUCUAUUCAUCUGUUACCAGCAUGGACAGAGGAAGCAAAGUUAUAAUCUUAGGCCGAAAUGAAAGCUUGAAGAAACUUGGGACCGUACAGACUAUUUCUCUGAACCGUCUGGCAUUCGAAGAGUACAAUUACCUGCUCAAGACGCUCGCAUUCGGAAGCGCGAACCCGGGAGACCAUCCGCGGUUAGCAACGAUAGUGGAAGAGUUUGCUGUAGUGUUGGGAGGAUCACUCAUCCCAGCAAACUUGAUUGCACAUGCACUGAGAAAGAACCUGAAUGCCCAUUUCUGGCUUAGCACAUUGAACAGGAUCAGAAUCACAAUGAAGAUGAACAUUUCCAGGUUUGGCGUCCAUCCAAAUGAGCUGUUGGAUCAAGGCCGUCCGGUACACCUCGGCCCUCACUACCUCUUGUCUCCUGCUGCUCCCUCUCCUAGCUCUCCAAAUAGCAGUCUACCCAAACUGGUUUUUGGGGAUUCGCUAGCAGAAGCAGGCCGUACUGUUCCACCAAAGGGAGAUUUUUGGCUAAUCGCAUGGGAGUCAAGGUUACCUCCAUACACUUCAUUUGCUCAUCUGGUUCGCUUUGUUCCAAGUUGUGUUGAUGAUAAACCUGAAGCAUCCUUGUCAGGGAAGAAGCGUCUGGGGCCAUCUGCCUAG
rnacentral:rRNA from 1 species